rnacentral:rRNA from 1 species
UACGGAGGAUGCGAGCGUUAUCCGGAUUUACUGGGUGUAAAGGGAGCGUAGACGGCAUGGCAAGUCUGAUGUGAAAGCCCGGGGCUCAACUCCGGGACUGCUUUUGAAACUGUUGAACUAGAUUGCAGGAGAGGUAAGUGGAAUUCCUAGUGUAGCGGUGAAAUGCGUAGAUAUUAGGAGGAACACCAGUGGCGAAGGCGGCUUACUGGACUGUAAAUGACGCUGAGGCUCGAAAGCAUGGGUAGCGAACAGG